rnacentral:rRNA from 1 species
AUGGACGGCGCAUCCAGGAGCGGGCUUGAGGCCGUGCUGCUUGGCCUGGCGCCCGUUGAGGUCAUACUCGGCACCCCUCUCUCGUUCUCUACUGAAAAGCUGAUGAGGGCAUAUGCGGGACCUGCCUCUAAUGUCCGGGUUGAGUGCACUUCGCGUGAUUGUUUCAGCGGGGGCGGCGCUUUAGCAGAACUGAUGUCUUUGUUUGAGAAAUCGGAGGUCAAUUCACAAACCAUCGAAAACGAUAAACAGAUGAUGGAAAUAAAUGAAGAGGACAACAAUCUUCGUGGGAUGGAGGGUGUCAUGGCUAUGCCAGAGCUAGUUGCCCAAGCAAUGGCAUUGAGCGUUCGCUAUUUGAAGGGUUUUGGUAUGCAGAGGUUAAUCUGCUUUGGUUCCUCGUUCCGGCCAUUUACUGCUAAUACUGAAAUGUCUCUAUCAGCAAACGCUCUUCAGCAGCUCGAGGUAUUAAAGAACAACUCAGAUGGUUCAAUAGAAGGAUCCCUGUUCCAAACUAUGAACAACACAUGUACAGCUUUUGGAUCUAGGCUGUUUAGACACUGGUUGACUCACCCCUUAUCUGAUAGAAAUCUAAUAUGUGCUCGUCACGAUGCAAUCUCUGAGAUCUCUGAAUCGAUGGGAUCACGGCAAGAUUCAGUUAGCAUUCGACAGGAUGAAGGGGAUGGGUGCUGCGCAGCUUCUGCGCGAAGUGAUCUCAGCACCAUUCUUUCAUCUGUUUUAACAAUGCUGGGAAGAUCACUUGAUUCUCAAAGAGGAAUUACAAGAAUUUUUCACUGCAAAGCCACAGCUAAAGAGUUUGUUGGGGUCAUCCAGUCUAUCUUGACGGCUGGAAAGCAACUGCGGAAGCUUGUUCUCGAGGAUACUGAUAACAUGUCUUCUCAGCAUAGAAUUGUCCACUCUUCUUUGUUGAGAAGGCUCAUAAGUACAGCUUCAUCAUCUGCUGUACUUGCUAAUGCUGUGAAACUUCUGUCGUGUCUUGACAAAGAUGCUGCUGAUCAAGGAGAUAUGAUAAACCUAUUCAUUUCAUCUAUUGACCAGUUCCCCGAGGUUGCAGAGGGUCAUGUGACUGUUGAAAUGGCCAAACAAAAACUGGAUUUAUUAAUUGUUGAAUAUCGGAAGCAGCUUGGCAUGCGCAGCUUGGAGUACAAAACCGUAUCUGGAACAGCUUACCUGAUCGAACUACCAGUAGAUAGAAGGGUGCCUACAAAUUGGAUGAAAGUAAAUAGCACCAAAAAAACUAUUAGAUACCACACUCCUGAAGUAUUGAAGAACUUGGACAACUUAUUACUGGCUAAAGAAGAACUAGCAGUUAUCUGCAGGAAAACAUGGCACAAAUUCCUUGUGGAUUUCGGCAAAUAUUAUGCGCAGUUUCAAGCAUCUGUCGAAUCUCUUGCAGCUCUUGACUGCUUAUACUCUCUUGCCACUCUUGCAAAACAAAAUAAUUAUGUACAACCUAACUUUGUUCCUGAAAAUGAAGCAAGUCAGAUCCACAUCAAAGAUGGUCGCCAUCCGGUUCUGGAGUCUCUACUUGGAGACAAUUUUGUUCCAAAUGAUACAGACCUUCAUGCAGAUGGGCAGUACUGCCAGAUUGUUACAGGACCAAACAUGGGAGGAAAAAGUUGCUAUAUUCGCCAAGUUGCACUAAUUACCAUUAUGGCCCAGGUUGGUUCCUUUGUACCAGCUUCAUCAGCAAUACUUCAUGUUGUUGAUGGAAUUUAUACUCGGAUGGGUGCAUCUGACAGUAUUCAACAAGGAACAAGUACCUUUUAUGAAGAGAUGAAUGAAGCUUCCAACAUAUUACAGAACUGCUCAUCUCGAUCCCUAGUUAUCAUUGAUGAGCUUGGUCGUGGAACAAGCACACACGAUGGUGUUGCUAUAGCCUAUGCUACAUUACACUAUCUCCUGAAAAACAAGAAAUGUAUUGUCAUUUUUGUAACUCACUAUCCAAAGAUUCUUAAUAUCCAGAGUGAAUUUGAAGGUUCCGUUGGGGCAUACCAUGUUUCAUAUCUGUCGACAAGGAAGCUGUUGCAAAUUAGUGAUGAAAAGAUGGGUAUUAGCACAGAAACAGAGGAUCUUGGAGAAAUUACUUUCUUGUAUAAACUUGUUGCUGGAGCUUCAGACAGAAGCUUUGGUCUUAAUGUCGCAUUGCUUGCGCAGGUUAGUCAUAUGUGA